CCCCAGUGCCUGCCCUUCUGCUGGGUGUGGGGUCACACCCAGCUGGCCUCCACCAGCCUGUGCUGGGACAUGAUGGGAGAGGGUUUGGCACUCCAGCUUUGGCAAUGAGCUCAUCAUACCCCUGUGAGAUCGGGACACAGUUGGCUGGAAGUGUCAGGAAAAUCUAUUUGCAGCACUUCUAUUUUUUACAAGGCUAUCUUAUGAGGCGCAAUACAGAAGGAAAACCUGAAGGUUGCUUUACUGGUCAGUACUCAGUGCACAAAUAAAAAAGAAGUAAAGCAGGCCCCCAGCCACCUCAGAUAUUAAGACUUCUAGGACACUAGUGUGGACAAAGAAGAAUCAGAUAUAGUCACUUCAGGCUUUAUGCAAUUGCCAAGAAAGCUGCAGUGACUACCAGGAUUAUCUUUCUCCAGGCAAGAAUAUGCAAUAUGCAUGACACAGCUCUGCUCCAGAGCUUUGAGUAUCUUUAUCUCCACAGACACCACAACAAAUCAGAAAAAAAAAAUCAGAAACUUAUUGAGUCAGCUAAGUAAAGGAGUGACAUAAGAGACUCUGCUUUUGUGUGUUUGCCACCGAGCAAUCUUUAUAAGUGGCAUUUCCUGGAUUGCUGACUUGGGUUCUGGCUGUAUCACGUGGAGGUGAGAACACAACCUCCAGGAAAUGAGGUGAAAAUGCACCCUCCUCUAAUGAGCUGUAGCCACACACUUCUGUAGCCUUCACUUAAGCAGAUAACUGCAGUGACACAAUUGCUGUGCCACACAGAGUAACUCUGAAGUUUUAGAAAGGGAACCACACUGGAAAAGGGAAGUGUCUUGGGCAGCACUCUCUGGAAGAGCUGUCUCUGUAGGUUGUUUGGGAGAUAGUUUCUGGCUAAUAUCCUGCCCCAGAGACAGAGCAGUAACUCCAUCAUAUUUAGGGAAAUGGACAGGACUGAAGUUCUUGAGCUUGCCUUCCUUCAGCUCUCAGAGAGAAAAUCAGGUCUUCAGCCUUUUGUCCAUGGCAAUAGAGAGAAUCAUCUGAUGCUGCACUAGCAAAACCAUAGAGAAGGUGAAUGAAAAGAUCUGUCACUCUCUCAAUAACCAAGGCUGGCUCACGUAUGUAAAUUUUACACAUCCCCUGGUAGUCCCCAACAUCUUUGCUCAGCAGUUCCUGUCUGAUUCAAACAGAGAGCAUCUGCUGGGGAGGGUGAUUUUGCUUCUGGUUGAUAGGGGAUCUCAGAUGUCCCCAGUGUUGUACUUCCAAGAUGACAUCAGUUUUUCACACUCUGAACUGUCUGGUGAUGGUUUCAUGGAUGUUCAGUGGAGCUCAGUUCUAAAAUCACACUUUUUAAAAUU